rnacentral:rRNA from 1 species
GACGAACGCUGGCGGCGUGCUUAACACAUGCAAGUCGAGCGGUAAGGCCCUUUCGGGGGUACACGAGCGGCGAACGGGUGAGUAACACGUGGGUGACCUGCCUUUAGCUCUGGGAUAAGCCUGGGAAACUGGGUCUAAUACCGGAUAUGACUCCGCGGUGCAUGCUGUGGGGUGGAAAGCCUUGUGCGGCUGGAGAUGGGCCCGCGGCCUAUCAGCUUGUUGGUGGGGUGAUGGCCUACCAAGGCGACGACGGGUAGCCGGCCUGAGAGGGCGACCGGCCACACUGGGACUGAGACACGGCCCAGACUCCUACGGGAGGCAGCAGUGGGGAAUCUUGCGCAAUGGGCGAAAGCCUGACGCAGCGACGCCGCGUGAGGGAUGACGGCCUGGUGU